rnacentral:rRNA from 1 species
UUGGACUCAACGCCGGAAAACUCACCGGGGGCGACAGCAAUUAUGUAGGUCAGGUUAAAGGUCUUACCUGAAUCGCUGAGAGGAGGUGCAUGGCCGUCGUCAGUUCGUACUGUGAAGCAUCCUGUUAAGUCAGGCAACGAGCAAGACCCGUGCCCACUGUUACCAGCAUAUCCUUUAUGGAUGAUGGGGACUCUGUGGGGACCGCUGCUGCUAAAGCAGAGGAAGGUGCGGGCUACGGUAGGUCAGUAUGCCCCGAAUCUCCCGGGCUACACGCGGGCUACAAUGGUUGGGACAAUGGGUAUCUACUCCGAAAGGAGUUGGCAAUCUCUUAACCCAAUCGUAGUUCGAAUUGAGGGCUGUACUCGCCCUCAUGAAGCUGGAAUCCGUAGUAAUCGCGUUUCAACAUAGCGCGGUGA